GGGUGGUAAUGCCGGAUGUUCCAGUUGAUCGCAUGGUCUUCUGGGAAAGCUUUCGCGGUAUGGGAUGGGGUCGCGUCCUAUCAGCUUGACGGCGGGGUAACGGCCCACCGUGGCUUCGACGGGUAGCCGGCCUGAGAGGGCGACCGGCCACAUUGGGACUGAGAUACGGCCCAGACUCCUACGGGAGGCAGCAGUGGGGAAUAUUGCACAAUGGGCGCAAGCCUGAUGCAGCGACGCCGCGUGAGGGAUGGAGGCCUUCGGGUUGUAAACCUCUUUUAUCGGGGAGCAAGCGUGAGUGAGUUUACCCGUUGAAUAAGCACCGGCUAACUACGUGCCAGCAGCCGCGGUAAUACGUAGGGUGCAAGCGUUAUCCGGAAUUAUUGGGCGUAAAGGGCUCGUAGGCGGUUCGUCGCGUCCGGUGUGAAAGUCCAUCGCUUAACGGUGGAUCCGCGCCGGGUACGGGCGGGCUUGAGUGCGGUAGGGGAGACUGGAAUUCCCGGUGUAACGGUGGAAUGUGUAGAUA
rnacentral:rRNA from 2 species